rnacentral:rRNA from 1 species
AUUGAACGCUGGCGGCAGGCCUAACACAUGCAAGUCGAGCGGAUGAGUGGAGCUUGCUCCAUGAUUCAGCGGCGGACGGGUGAGUAAUGCCUAGGAAUCUGCAUGGUAGUGGGGGACAACGUUUCGAAAGGAACGCUAAUACCGCAUACGUCCUACGGGAGAAAGUGGGGGAUCUUCGGACCGCACGCUAUCAGAUGAGCCUAGGUCGGAUUGGCUAGUUGGUGAGGUAAAGGCUCACCAAGGCGACGAUCCGUAACUGGUCUGAGAGGAUGAUCAGUCACACUGGAACUGAGACACGGUCCAGACUCCUACGGGAGGCAGCAGUGGGGAAUAUUGGACAAUGGGCGAAAGCCUGAUCCAGCCAUGCCGCGUGUGUGAAGAAGGUCUUCGGAUUGUAAAGCACUUUAAGUUGGGAGGAAGGGCAGUAAGUUAAUACCUUGCUGUUUUGACGUUACCAACAGAAUAAGCACCGGCUAACUUCGUGCCAGCCGCCGCAGUAACAC